rfam:Arthrobacter sp. SRS-W-1-2016 contig10546, whole genome shotgun sequence.
CGCGGUCUUCGGUAGUGAUCCCCGGGAAAGCUUUCCAUAAUGAAGGCGCAGCCCGUGGGUCUCGAUCGAUGACCGGG